UCACAUGGAUAGCUUUUUCAGACAGACACAGAAAUGGUUAGCUGAGUGACCUUUUAUCGAGUGUAUAAUUCUAUCCCUCAAUGAAAAAAAAACCGUGGUCUUGAAAAUGACUUCUAAUUAUUGUUAUCAGCAUUGUGAUCCAACUGGAUACAGACCAAGGCUCAUGAUGGUGGCUGAAGAUGUUUGAGCUUAAAGUCAUUAUAAGAUUAACCCCAUGCUGCACAACAUAUUUCUCUGCUUCCUGUGGCCCAUCAAACUGAAGACCUGCAUUCAUACAUGCAUAAUUCACCAAACAUUUCCAGACUGAAGAGGAAAUGUGCAUAAAAGAACUUGAAAAAAUUCAUAAUAUCCAAGAAAAUCAAGACCACAAUGAACGACAAAAAUGCCAUGAAUCGUGCAACGUGGAAGUUUAAAUUAUACUUAAGUCAUUUAUUUUCAAUAGCUGCGUCCAUUUAACUUGUUCGCAGUUUAACUGUGUUUAUUUAUUCAUCUUGUGGUUGGUUUCUGCCUGUACUUUAGCUGCAUUGAAGUGCUUUGAUUGUGAAAUUUUCCAUAUUUAACUGAUUGGGAGGCAAAUCAUCCUCUCUGUAAUGUAUGUAAUGUACAGUUUGUAUUGUGAGAGCUGUAUUUAACAUUUUGCCUGUAUGGCUAUGUUAACUUUUUGGUUUCCAGACUGUUUAUUUGCCUUUUGCUUUGUGUAUUUUUUGUGUUUAUAUGCCUGAAAAUAAAAUU